rnacentral:ncRNA from 1 species
AAAGCCGCCUGAAAAGGUCGGUGGUGUACCUUUAACAACUGGCUAGUCUAGCUUUGGCUAGGCGACACGUCCAAACUGAUCGGGGAACUCCUUAAGCUUGAGCUACCGCGGCUUCAUUGCAAGAUGAAGUGCAGCACCAGGGUAAUGACCUCGGGGAUGGUAAUAACGCUCAAGAUUGGACAAUCCGCAGCCAAGCCGCUCACGUAGUGGAAGGUUCAGAGACUAGAUGGUCGUGGGUGGAUGCAGCACGCUGCAUCUGCUUAAGGUAUAGUCCAGCCAACGUGCGAAAGCGCA